GUGGGGAAUAUUGGGCAAUGGGCGAAAGCCUGACCCAGCAACGCCGCGUGAGGGAAGAAGGGUUUCGGCUCGUAAACCUCUGUCCUAUGGGACGAAGGAAGUGACGGUACCAUAGGAGGAAGCCCCGGCUAACUACGUGCCAGCAGCCGCGGUAAUACGUAGGGGGCGAGCGUUGUCCGGAAUGAUUGGGCGUAAAGGGCGCGUAGGCGGCCUGCUAAGUCUGGAGUGAAAGUCCUGCUUUCAAGGUGGGAAUUGCUUUGGAUACUGGUGGGCUGGAGUGCAGGAGAGGAAAGCGGAAUUACCGGUGUAGCGGUGAAAUGCGUAGAGAUCGGUAGGAACACCAGUGGCGAAGGCGGCUUUCUGGACUGAAACUGACGCUGAGGCGCGAAAGCGUGGGGAGCAAACAGGA
rnacentral:rRNA from 1 species